UGCGUGUCAAUGCGCACCUAGAGCGUACACGCUGAUACCCGAAAGAUGGUGAACUAUGCCUGGCCAGGACGAAGCCAGGGGAAACCCUGGUGGAGGUCCGCAGCGAUUCUGACGUGCAAAUCGAUCGUCGGAGCUGGGUAUAGGGGCGAAAGACCAAUCGAACCAUCUAGUAGCUGGUUCCCUCUGAAGUUUCCCUCAGGAUAGCUUGCGCUCGGUUGAGAAGAGUCUCAUCCGGUAGAGCGAAUGAUUAGAGGCAUUGGGGUCGAAACGACCUCAACCUAUUCUCAAACUCCAAAUAGAUGAGACCCCCGGCUUCUUAAA
rnacentral:rRNA from 1 species